ensembl:lncRNA
AGUGUUUGAGGGUUUGAAGGUAAACGUUGAGUGAGCACUACUUCAGACAACAUGAAAGAUCAGAGGCUCUUGUUUUUCCUCUUUCUUCUCUUAAUUCCAUGCUACGGAGAAGAAACAGUGGCCGAGGACGUGGGGGUCCAUCAGAUAGAGCGCCUGGUGGAGCUGCUGACGUCCACAGAGUGCAGGGACCUCCUCACAGCCCUGUCCAGCCCAGAGGAGAACAUCUUCCAGCACCUGAGGCGCCUCCUUCCUGAGAACAACCGCCUGGACCCCAAGCCGCGAGCCAGGAGGGACGCCUCCGAUGCAGACGCCAGGGAGGCGGAGUGCAGGACAGCGCUGACACACUGGCUGCUGAGGAACGGGGAGCAGAUGUACUACGACAGGCUGUCCCGCGGCCUGCAGCACAUCGGCAGGUCAGACAUCGCCGCGGGGGUAUUUAUUUGAGGUCUAAUAUGAGACUCAAAUGACUUUCAGCUAUCCGCUGUGUUUGUUGUCUAUUCAUUUCCAUGCCAAUAUGGAGUUGAUU